GCUAAGGGUUCUGUCUUGCCCGGGUCUGCCUCUUGGGCGGUUAUGUCCUGGUAUUAGUCCAAAACUCUGUCCAGGGUUCCCAAGUCUUGAGGUGUCUAUUACGUUUCCCCAUUAACGACCAGUGGAUGUCCUCUAUCUCCCUCACUCCCUCUACCUUUUGUACCCAUUGCUCCAUGGUCGGAAUGCUAGGUUUACGCCAGUACAGUGGGAUCAGGGCGUUUGCCUCCCCUAGCAAAAUGUGCAGUAAGUG